rnacentral:misc_RNA from 1 species
UCCCUGGUAGUCCUUGCCGUAAACGAUGUGGAUUAGGUAUCGGGGGUGUCGAUCCCUCCGGCGCCGACGCUAACGCAUUAAAUCCACCACCUGGGGAGUACGGUCGCAAGACUGAAACUCAAAGAAAUUGACGGGGACCCGCACAAGCGGUGGAGCAUGUGGUUUAAUUCGAGGCUACGCGAAGAACCUUACCCAGGCUUGACAUGUAGUUGCUAAUCUGUGAAAGCAGGUGUCUCCGCAAGGAGCGAUUACACAGGUGCUGCAUGGCUGUCGUCAGCUCGUGCUGUGAAGUGUUGGGUUAAGUCC